GUGAGGUGAGGUGAAAUGGGGUUUAACGUCGUACUUAAGGCUAUUUCGCUCAUGUGAUGAUGUGCAUGCAUGUGUAUGUGUGUUUUGUACUCUUGUACUA